AAACCGGUCCUUUUCAGGACUACAAAUUAUAUUAGCCAAAAAGAAU
rfam:Anopheles maculatus strain maculatus3 cont1.37862, whole genome shotgun sequence.